rnacentral:tRNA from 1 species
UAAUAUAGAAGAUAUGAUCUUGUAUUUAGAUUUACAGUCUAAAGCCUAAUUCUCGGCCACUAUAUU